CCAGGUUGGAUGUAAUGUGUUAGAACUACCAGCAGGUGGGGAUAAGAGACCUUUAAUCUCCUAAGACCCGAACUUUUCCACGGCAUGCAUUUUUAAUUUCUCUUUGAUAUUUGGGCUGAUUAGGACCUGAUGAAUGUAAAAACAAAGAAUUACCAGAUAUUUUUUUAACCUAAUUUUUGUUUCUAAGGAAAAUGAGAGCCACAUAUGAGGAUAUUCAUUUAAAAUUUCGAUAGAACAGUAGCAGUAUAAUGUCCUCGUAAGUGGAUAUCAGGCCCUUGUACAGCAAAAUUGAGUAUUUUGGUCUAAAUAACCCAAAAAGUGAUGUCCACAUAUGUGGACGCCAGGUCCUAGGAGGUUAAGGUGUUUGGUGCCACACUCCACCUUCAGGUUUAAAACUAGUGUUAAUGGAGGGAGUUUGAAGGUUGAGUUUGUUCCACGACUGCAUUUCACUCACUGCCUCUGUUUGUAUCUCUGUCACUGCAGGACCAACAUGGAGCGAGAAGUCAGCGCUCUCAGGAGGCCGACAAACCUCACAGAAGAAAGAGAGAGAAAAAACACACCUGUGACGAGUGUGGGAAGGGUUUUACUUGGAAGUCUGAUCUAAAACAGCAUCAGGUCAUCCACACUGGAGAGAGACCGUUCAGCUGUGACUUGUGUGGAAAGUCUUUUUCCUGGAAGCGUUCCCUAAAAAAACACCAACUCAUCCACAGUGGAGUUAAAGCAUACAGCUGUGAUCAGUGUGGCAGAGCUUUUACUCAAAGUAGCAGUUUACAGAAGCAUCUAGUUACCCACUCUGGAAUUAAGGCAUACAGCUGUGACAUCUGUGGAAAAACUUUCAGCCGGAGAGGGCACCGAAAUACACACCUACGCAUUCACACCAGACAUGAUGUGUACUGCUGUGAACAGUGUGGCAAAUACUUUGCUACAGACACACAGUUACAACAACACAUGUUUACCCACACUGAGGAACGACCUUAUAAAUGUGACCUGUGUGAGAAGACUUUUAAAUCUCCAUAUUACCUGAGAAAACACCAACAGAUCCACACCAGAAAGAGACUCUACAAGUGCAGUUACUGUGAGAAGCAGAGCAACACAGAUGGAUCCAGUUCUCAACCCUGUCAUCACUGUGGUGGUGGGAAAGAGUUUCGUUGUGACCUUUGUGGAAAAACUUUCAGUCAGCAAAAGAACCUAAAAAUACAUCAACGUAAACACACUGGAGACAAACUGAAAUACUGCAAAAAAUGUGGGAGAAGCUUCACCACAUCACGUGACUUAAAACGCCAUGAACUGAUUCACAGUGGGGUUAAAAAGCACCUCUGUGAUCAGUGUGGGUCAUCCUUCACCACUGCAUGCGGGCUUAAAACACACAAACGAGUCCACACAGGAGAGAAACCAUACAAGUGCAGACACUGUGACAGAAGCUUCUCACAAUCAGGUCAUCGUAACAAUCAUGAACAUACACACAUGGAAGAAAACUACAGCUGUGACCAGUGUGACAAGAGCUUCAGGAAUCUCAGAUCAUUCUCCGAACACAAACGAUCCCACGUUACUAAUAAACUGUUUCACUGUUACCAAUGUGCCAAAACAUUCACCUCAUUGUCUGCUCUGUGCAAACAUCAGCGUGAUCACUCAGGACUGAAAUCACUCCCAUCACUGGAUCACAGUGAAUCUGAAGAGACAGAAAGAUCCUCUGGUUUCAGUGUCAGACUCAAAAAGCUUGAGAUCAGGCUCCACAGAGUUCAGAUAGAAUCAUUUAAACUUGUGUUGAACUGAACUGGUUGCUGGGCUGAACUUCUACAUAAUACAGAUUUACAUGGGAUUAGAGCUGGGCGAUAUCAGAUUUUUUCAUAUCACGAUAUGUUUUUUUCAUUUCAGGCGAUAACGAUAUAUAUCACGAUAUAAGCCAAAUAACUAUAUUUGUAAGAUUUAAAUGUGCCGUUGCUCACAAGUAAAAUGUGAAAUAACCAGCAGCUUGUUUUGAUUUAAAUAUUUAUUUCCCAUAAUAAGUUCAACAGGGUAGAUGUACUUUCAGAUAAAUAAAGGCAAAUAUUGCAAACUACACAAAAGGCAGGCGCUAAAGAGUUUAAGUUUCAAAAUAGAACAAACAAAACAGACUACUAAAUUGUCAAUUCCACUUAGAAACAAAAUAUUAAUUCAAAAAAUUAGUUUGUGUUAGUUUGUUUUACAGAAGAACAGACAAAAUUGACUAACUUUUGUCAAUAUCAAAUAAACUGAGAACUAAAGGGAAAUUCUCAAUCUCUCCUUGUUGUAUAGCUUAGCCUUUCAAAUAGUCUUAACAGUUACUUUAGUCUGACAAAAGCCGAAUGACGAAUUAGCGCUUUCAGUCAGAGAUUGAGCAUGCACCGGUUUAUUGUCUUUCCAGACUUGCUUUCGGCACAAUUUACAGUGCGCACUACUCUGUUUUUUGUCAGACUUGAAAUAGCCGAAAUACCUUCACACUACGGAACUUCUAUGGCUCUUCCGUUCGACAAUCUCUCCGGCAUUGGAACCAUCAUCGGUUUUUUCUUCGGUAACCUUCGCUCACGCUCUCGGUUGAUUUUUCUCUAGUCGGCAAACUCAUUUCCUCCAUUAUCUGGGCAGCCCGGCUGCAUAAACAAAUACACAUGUGCGCCUUGGCACUUGUGCUGUACGUAACAAGUCACGUGACGUGACGCUGCGGCUGUGAUUGGUUCGGCUCUGCGCUACUUAAAUUGGAUUGGCUGUUCUUUUUUCUUUUUUUUUAAGAGGACAAGAGGGAUGAGGCCUAUCGCAAUAGUUAAAUUUUUCUAUCGAGAAAAAGUUAUUUCACAAUACAUAUCGUUAUCAUUCUAUCGCCCAGCUCUACAUGGGAUCUUAUUUUCUGUUGUUUUACUGAGUCAGUUUUGUCCUUUUUUCUCUGUCCUGGUUUUGCUCGUCUGUAAAUAAUUGAAACUCAGUCAAAUAGUUCAUUGUUCUCCAGCAAAACGUUUUGGAAACUCAUGUUUAACCUUUAAAACUCUGACAUGUUUUAGCACACAAGGCUUCAUCGGGGAGUUCACUCAUGAUUGGACCAUGAGAAUAAAGGUUUUUAGUUCUUUCAAAGAGA